GACGUAGGUGGCGAACGUUAUCCGGAAUUAUUGGGCGUAAAGGGUGCGUAGAUGGCUUGAUAAGUUAGCAGUGGGAAAUCGAGGCUCAACCUCGUGGAAGCUGGUAAUACUGUCAGGCUCGAGUGCAGGAGAGGUUAACGGAACUCCAUGUGGAGCGGUAAAAUGUGUAGAUAUAUGGAAGAACACCAAUAACGGCGAAGGCAGUUAACUAUUCUGUUACUGACGUUGAGGCACGAAAGCGUGGGGAGCAAAAAGG
rnacentral:rRNA from 1 species